rnacentral:lncRNA from 1 species
GAUUUUCUCGGACCCUCUUACUUUUGUAAUGCCUAAGAGAUAUUUUACUUAUUGACAGUAAGUUGAUAUUGGUCAUGUUUGUUAUUUUGAAAACACCCUUGUUAUUUAGUACUAUACUGCACCUUUAUGAGGUUGUUAUUAAUAACUUAGUGUAUAUAUUAGAGAGAGAGAGGGAGACUGUGUGGUGAGUUGGCGGACCCAGUACAGUGCCGGGACUGAAUAUAAUUUGUCUUUAGUCUUGAUAUUUUCACUGGUAGACUUCAGGUAAUGUUCAAUUAAACUUCUGCAUGAUAGUUAACUCAGAUAACAUACAGUAAUUAUUUACUAGUUUCGUUUCGUUCCUCAAUAUUCGGGUUUCGGAUUUCAUUGCGGGCGAUAAAAACAAAGUACCCAACAUGAAAACAGCUGAUUCUUAUACGUUUACGUCAUUUUUGCUAAUAAAAGAGGCGAAGUUAAAGAAUACACACACCCGGUAUGUAGUGUAAGGGGUUAGGGUUACGUCGAAAACGGGUGGUGUGCGUGGAGAUAGAUAGAUAUUCACACUUGUCAUUUCUCAAUUCUGAGUUCAAACCCCAGUUGUAUCGUCUCUUGUGUUAACCACGGUUUUAACCACUCUAGGGACUAAUAAAAUGGUGGUGAGUUGUCGGACACGGUGCAGUGCCGGGACUUAAUACACUUCGUCGUAAUAUUAAGUGUUGAUAUCCACCGUUAGUAGGAUAUAAAGGUUGUCCUAUCGUAUUCAAUCUUGUCAUUUUUACGGUCUGAGUUCAAGCCAUGUUAAAGAGACUUUUACAGCAUAGAUAACUAAAACGGCAUAGAGACUUUAUUUAGUUUUAUUUCGUUCCUCGAUAUUCGGGUUUCGAACCUUGCUGCAGGUAAUGAAAGUCGAUAUCAAGCAUAAGAAAAACCGGCAAUCCUAAAUGUGUAUUCGAGCGUGUAUUUCACUCAUCAGCUGGUUCGUGGACAUAAAAGACAAUGAGUACGCGAGUGUGGACCGCGUAUGUUUACCUUUUUUUUUUUAGAAGUAUGCAUGUUUGUGUGUAUAUAUAUAUAUAUAUAUACAAAAAAAUUUUUUUACAAAAUAGGCGCAUGGUUCCGGGUUCAGUCCCACUGCGUGAUACCUUGGGCAAGUGUCUUCUACUAUAGACUCGGGCCGACCAAAAGCCUUGUGAGUGGGAUUGGUAGACGGAAACUGAAAGAAGCGCGUCGUAUAUAUGUAUAUGUGUAUAUAUAUAUAACGGGAAGGUUUACGAAAAUAAACAAAAGACGAAGGCAGGUGGAGUACAAACAAACAAAUGUAUUAGUAUGGCGCUCAGGAACAGAAAUAGAACAAGUCUUUUACGUUUCGAGCCUACGCUCUUCGACAGAAAGAUACACAGAAAAAAAAACAAGGAGAGAAAAAAAUGCGUGUAGGAGCUAACGAUCUAUCAUGUGUGUGUGUUUGUGUGUCUGUGUUUGCCCCCACCCCCAACAUCGCUUGACAACAGAUGCUGGUGUGUUUACGUCUCCGUAACUUAGCGGUUCGGCAAAAGAGACCGAUAGAAUAAGUACUUGGCUUACAAAGAAUAAGUCCUGGGGGCGAUUUCCUCAACUAAAGGCGGUGCUUCAGCAUGGCCGCAGUCAAAUGACUGAAACAAGUAAAAGAGUAAAUUGCCGAUUUUCAUUUUCGCUUUGGCGAAACCAUCUCCGAAGGACACCUCUAUUCUUAUAAGUUCCCGUCACUAUGCCAAUGAAAGAAAAAUAUUAAGACUUGUCAUUUCUCAAUUCUAGGCUUAAAUUCCUUUGGCAUUAACCACUCCAAGGUAUUGAUAAAAUAGUUAAUUAAUAUGCUACACAGUGUCACCCUUUCCUCUACAAAUACAUAUAUACAUAAAUGUAUAUAUGUAUAUACACAUACAUAUGGCUGUACAUAUAUACACACACGCACGCACAUCAAUUCUUCCGCUUCGCAUCAACUUCAAGAGAGUUGUAAGAUCGCCCAAUAUUACAUGAGCACUUUAUAACGUUUCUUUCUUUGCUGGCAACUCGCCGCGGACUACCACUUUGAGAAGCUCUGGUCUGUUAUACCCGUUCAGUGCUUAAAGGGAGAUAAUUCUUAACGCAUGGAAGAGUUAUCUAUCUUGAUAUAUUUUAUUUAUUUAUUAAAAUAUAUUUGCAAAAUAAUCCUUUCUAAUUUAGGCACAAAGCCUGGAGUUUGGUGGGAGAGGGUGCCAGUUGAUUAGAUCGACUUCAGUACACAACUGGUACUUAAUUUAUCGACCCCGAAAGGAUGAGAGGCAAAGUUGAACGUAGCGACGGGUGAAAUACCUAUUUCUUUACUACCCACAAGGGGCUAAACACAGUGAGGACAAACAAGGACAGACAAACGGAUUAAGUCGAUUAUACCGACCCCAGUACGUAACUGGUACUUAAUUUAUCAACCCCCGAAAGGAUGAAAGGCAAAGUGAACCUCGGCGGAAUUUGAACCCAGAACGUAGCGGCAGACGAAAUACCGCAAAGCAUUUCGUCCAGCUUGCUAACGAUUCUGUCAGCUCGCCUCUUUAUUUAUUUGUGAAAUAAUAAUCUCAGAUCCAUCUUCGCUAUGUCUUCAGAACGGUAAAACGAAAUGGUUGGCAUCUCUCAUUUGUAGUGAAUUUAUAUUCUACCAAACAUAAUACUAAUAAUUGUUUCUACUAUAGACACAAGGCCUGGAAUUUGUGGGUCAGGUGGAUAGUCGAUUACAUCGACCCCAGUAUUUGACUGGUACUUAAAUUUAUCGAUACUGAAAGGAUGAAAAGCAAAGUCGACCUCGGCGGAAUUUGAACGCAGAGCUAAGCAUUUCGCCCAGCUCACUGCCUUAGUAAUAAUAAUUCUUUCUGCUAUAGGUAGAAGGCUAACAAUUUUGAAGAGAGGGGAGGCAGUUGAUAUUUUAUUUUAUCAAACCCCAUAAAGGUGUUUGGCAAAGAUGACCCCAACGGGAUUUGAACUCAGAACUUCAAGUGUUGUACGAUUUACUACUAGACAUUACUCCAACGUUCUAACAAUUCUGCCAAUAAAAUGUUUCUGAUUUAGACUCAAUGCCAACAGAUUUGACAGGAAGGGUUUUGUUCAUUCCAUCGACCCCAGUACUUGACUGGUACUUUAUUUUAUGGACCUAAAAGGAGGAAAUACAAAGUUGGCCUGGUUGGGAUUUGAUCCCAGAAGGUAAAGAUCUGGAAGGCAUUUUUGUCUCAUGCUUUAAUCAUUCUACCAAUUCGCUACCUUUAUCGCCCUGCUGCUUUCCUCUCGCUGGGGAAGAAAGGCAGUGUUCCUCUGUCUGGUGGCUAUGGCAAAGGAAGUUGCAUGGUGGAUGAGACUGAAAGGACUGAAGACUGAUAUUUUCCUUUUCGGCUGAGCCCUUGUCGAAGUUUUCAAGUGAGAGUUGAGAGGGAAGUUCUGCCCCACCCCCAGUAAAUUUGUUGAAAGGUGGGUGAAUGUGGUGAGGAUGGCUCGUGUAAAUGGGCCUACUCUGAACCUUUGUUAACUGGAGAAGUUGAGAUGGAGAGAAGUGCCUGCUGAGGUGCAUCUGGCAAACGGGAUAACCAGAAUGUGUGGGGUUCCUCAGUUGUCUCUGUAAGGGACUCCCCAUUUUAGGGGGAUUUUAUUGUUUAAUUGUAUUGUUAAUUGCCAUUGUCUGUUUUGUGUUUGGCCAUUAUAACCAAUAAAGAAACUGUUAUUAUUAUUAUUAUUAUUAUUAUUAUUGGGUAACCGUGUAUUUUCUUUGCGGUAGUAUACCUGUUUCUGUCUUCAUUCCUGAUCUUUCUCUCUCCAGCCAGGUAACCUUGUACUUCCUCUACAGCAAGACACCUGUAUCUGUCUCACUAUAACCUUUUAUUCACCACCUCCUUCAAUGCUUCCUCUCCUCUUAAAAGAUUUUGUUUUGCAAGUACUUGGUGACCUUGUCAGUGCAGGUGCCACUUAAAAGCACCCGGUCCACACUGUAAAGUGGUUGGUGUUCGGAAGGGCAUCCAGCUGUAAAAACCUUACCAAAACUGACCUCACCUGUGCUUGUGCCACAUAAAAAGCACUAAAUCCACUCUGCUGAGUGGUUGGUGUUAGGAAGGGACCCAGGUGUAAAAACCUUGCCAAAACUGACCUCACCUGUGCUUGUGCCACAUAAAAAGCACUAAGUCCACUCUGCUGAGGGGUUGGUGUUAGGAAGGGACCCAGCUGUUAAUUCCUGCCGAAACAGUCACAGAAGCCUGGUGCAGGCUUUGGCCUGGCCGGCUCUUGUAGUACUAUCCCACCCCUGCUAACAUGGAACAUGGACGUUUAAUAAUGAUGAUGAUGAUUAAGAUAAUUAACUGGCAGAAUUGUUUGCACAUCAGGCGAAAUGCAUAGUAGCAUAUUUUCCAGCUCUUUACAAUCUGGUUUAAAUUCCACCAAGGUCAUCUCUGCUGUUCUUCCAUUUGGAGUCAAUAAAAUAAGCAUCAGUUAAACCCUGGAGUUGAUGUAAUCAAGUAUCAUCAUCCCCUAAAAUGUCACGCUUUGUGUCCAUAAUAGAAAGGGUUCUUCUUCUUCUUCCUCCUCCCUUCUUUUUCUUCUUGAAUGAGAGAGCAGUGCAUGCCAUUAAAAUGACACUGGGGUAAAAUAUAUACGAAGCCCAGCAUACCCAUCGUGACUACCCACCUGAUAAGGGUACACCAGGCACAUGCAUCACAACCCAAUGUGCAUAAUAUGGUGAUCUGAUAUUAAGACAAACAACGCAUGCUCUUGCAGGUGGGGCCCAGUUAGAAUUUUCUUCAGGUUGUGUAACCCAUCUUGCUCAAAAGGUCCCUGAAUAAGGGUUGUUUAAGGAUGAUGAACAAAACACCCAUGUUUCCAGAAGUGUAUCAUUCAAACUCCGAAGAAUUCUUCUCAACACAUGGCUAUGAUGCUCCCUCACUAUUUCUGCUCAUGAUCAAAGAUGCACAUAUUUUCAGCCACCAAGGGACAUGCUCAACUGGUUACGGUCAAACAACUACUGAAAAGCAAAUUUGUGGUAUUGAGCAGAACAUUUGCUGUUGUCCAUCUUUUAUACCAAGAGAAAUCAAUAUGAUAACGCUUCCAAUUGGUUAAGAUCAGAAGCCAUGAGAGACACUGCCUGGCACUGCAUCAGUGCUAUUAUCAUUAUUAUUAUUAUUAAGACGGCAAGCUAGCAGAACAGUUCACAUGCUGGGCAAAAUGCUUUGCUGCAUGUUGCCUGUCUUUACAUUCUGAGUUCAAAUGCUGCUGGGUCGACUUUGCCUUUCAUCUGUUUAGGUCGAUGAAAUAAGUACCAGUUAUGCACUGGUGUCUGUGUAAUCAACUAUCCCCACCCAAAAUUUCAAACCUUUUUCUAUAGUAGAAAGGAUUAUUAUUAUUAUUAUUAUUAUUAUUAUUACUACUACUACAGUGGUGAGCUAGCAGAAUUGUUAACACACCAGGUGAAAUGCUUAGAGGUAUUUCAUCUGCCACUAUGUUCUGUGUUCAAACUCUGCCGAGGUCGACUUUGCCUUUCAUCCUUUCAGGGGUGAUGAAAUAAGUACCAGUUACGCACUGGGCCAAUGUAAUCGACUAGCCCCUUUCCUCCCAAAAUUUUCAAGGCCUUGUGCCUAGAGUAGAAAUAAAGGUGGCAAGCUGGCACAAAUUCUUAGCACACUGGAUAAGAUGCUUAGCAGUAUUUCGCUUAUUGCUAUGUUCUGAGUUCAAAUUCCACCAAGGUCAACUUUGCCUUUCAUCCUUUCAAGGUCGAUAAAAUAAGAACCAGCUGAAGACUGGGGUCGAUGUAUUUGACUCAUCACCCACUCCCAAAAUUACUGCCGUUGUGGCUAAAUUUGUAACCAUUAUUAUUAUUAUUAUUAUUAUUAUUAAGGUAACUAUUUUGCUGCACUAUCAGUAUGUCAGGGGAAACGCAUUGCGGUAUAUUUUCCAGCCAUUUAGAAACCUGAUUUCAAAUUCUACUGAUGUCAUCUUUGCUUUUCAUCCUUUCAGGGUCGAUAAGAUCCAUACUAGUUCAGUACUAGCCCAUUGCUCACUCCCCCUACAUAUUUACCUGCUUAAUUCCCUCCACUUUUUUGCCCCCUUUUCUAUUUCUUUGUUUCCUAGUAUUUAAAUUACAAUAAAUGAAAAUGUUUUAUUUUGCAAUUUAGCAUGUAUUAUUAUCGUUGUUUAGUGAGUACUUCCUUGUGUUUGCAUGGGUUGGAUGUGGAGGUACAUGGCCUAGUGGUUAGAGCAGUGGACUCGCAGUCGAGGGAUCGUAAGGUUGAAUCUCAGACCAGGCGAUGUGUGUGUUUAUGAGCGAAACACCUAAGCUCCACGCAGCUCUAGCAGAAGGUAAUGGCGAAACUUCUGCUGACUCUUUUGCCACAACUUUCUCUCACUCUUUCCUCCUGCAUCUUGCAGCUCACCUGCGAUGGAUCGGCAUCCUGUCCAGGUGGGGAACCUAUACGCCAAGAAACCGGGAAACCGGCUCUUAUGAGCCAGGCAUGGCUCGAGAAGGAACAACCAUGGGUUGGAUGGAAAUUGUUCUGGCAGAUUUAUGGCCUGAUGCUCUUCCUGUUGCCAAUCCUCACAUUUUUUUUUCCAAGUACAACUACACACAUACAUACGUAUAUACACACACACAGACAAACACACACAAGAAUUCUUUCAGUUUCCGGUCUCUCAAAUUCACUGACCAGGCUUUUGUCAAGCUGAGAAUAUUACAGAAGACACUUGCCCAAGGGGUUGCACUGUGAGACUGAACUCAAGUCCACAUGGUUGGUAAUCAAACUUCUUAACCCCACAACUACACAUAACAUACACAUAUAUGUAUGUGUAUAUCAUGAUUAGUAUAUAUUAACACGCACGUUUAUCAGAGUGUAUAAAUGCCCUUCCUAACAUGUAAGAAGUCUUAUCGAUGGCCUUCUCUUCACAUGUUUACACACUCUGAUAAACAAAUAUUUUACGUCUUAUGACAUGCAGCCUUCUGGCUUGCCAGCCCUCAGUCAAACUGUCCAACCCAUGCCAGCAUGGAAAGCAGACAUUAAACUACAAUAAUGAUGACGAUGCAAACCAUCUGGUAAUAAAUUAUUUAAUAAUUUUUACCUUUAUAUUUAUAUUGACAUACAUGUAUAUGUUUGUACAUUCUACUCUGAAAUAUAAAUUGUUCUUUCUCUUCUAUCUCCUCUACUUUUGAUCCAUAGUUUCUGAAAAGUGAUGUCUGCUUAUACAGAAAAUUUAACCUUAUUACUUAACGUUCUACAACGAAGACUUUGAUCGUUUAGUCUCAAAGUCUCUCUUCUCCUUUUCUCUAAAUUCAUUUCACUUUCUGCACCGAAUGUUUCCAUCUCCUCUCUCUCUCUCUCUCUCUCUCUCUCAUUCCUUGGUCACUUCAACAGAUACAAGGGGGUGUUCAAAAGUUCAUAGCUUUGGGUAAAAGAAAAUACAGGAGGGUCAGUUAAUUAUGAUUUCCUCCAACAUAUUUCCCUCUCAGAUUCAUACACUUAUUGCAGCAGUCCUUCAGCUUUUCUAAGCCCUUUAAAAGAACUUGGAAAGUUGGGCCUCCAAUCAGGCCUUUCGCGAAACCUUUAGAGCCCGGAGCUUUUCAGCACCCCCUCAUACAUGUCUCUUCCUGGCUAUCACUUUGAUCCUGCACUCCUGCUUCAGGCACUUUCCCCUGAAAUUUCUGAUCAGCCUGUUCCACUAAUUAUCCACUUGGAGACUCACCACCACUGCUGCCAUCACCAUAGAUUUUAAACUUUUUUUGUCCCUUAACCACUGACAAAAGCGUAUACCUAUUCUAGAGUUAGACCAGGGUUUCUCAACUUUUUUUUUGCCUUUGAUUCUUAUCUGACCCCUUUCAUUCUUAUGACCCCAUUCAUUCCUAUUUGACUCCUUUCAUUUUUAUUUGAUCCCUUUCAUUCCUAUCUGACCCCUUUCAUUCUUAUCUGACCCCUUCCUAUUUGACCCCUUUCAUUCCUAUUUGACCCCUUUCAUUCUUAUUUGACCCCUUUCAUUCUUAUUUGACCCCUUCCAUUCCUGUUUAACCCCUUCCAUUCCUAUUUGAUCCCUUCCAUUCUUAUUUGACCCCUUUCAUUCUUAUUUGACCCCUUCCAUUCCUGUUUGACCCCUUCCAUUCCUGUUUUAGCCCUUUCAUUCCUGUUUGAUCGCCUUCCUUCCUAUUUAACUUGAGUGGACCCCGUAGCCAUUUUGAUGCUUAAAAAAUAUUUUUAUAAUUAAAUUUUAUGAGAUAUUGUGUUUAAAAAAAUAUGUCAAAAUAUUUUGUGAAUUGUAGAAGUAAACUGAAUUAAUGCACAUGAAUUUUUGGCAACAAAAUCUUAUGUGGACCCCCAAGGGACCCCAUUGACCCCAGUUGAGAACCACUGUUUGACAACACUACCCAACUUACCACACACACACACAUAUACAUGUCCUUGAAAUGUCAAACAAAAUUCUUAAAAAAUACAAAUUGCCACUCACACAUACACUGGCAAUUACACACACACACACACACACACACACACACACACACACACACACAGAGUUAUUUGUCCAAAGUACUACUCUUGAAAGAACAGAUGUUCUCACAAAACAAUCCCCACUAAAAAUUCACUUAUUUAUGAAAAAUAUCAUCCAUUAGAGAUAUAGCCAGUAGACACAGAGUUAAUUGUUGUUUCAAAUACACCUGUUCAAAAAGCAUUCAAUUAAAAGAAAAAAAUGCUUACAUAAUCACACACACACUCACACACACGUGUAAAAAAGAUACUAAGCAAAAAUUAAUACAUAAAUGAAAAUACUCACCAUUAACAAAUUAAUAACACAAAUUAAUAACAUGACAUGAACACAUACAUACACACAAUCCAUCAUCAUCAUUAUUAUCAUUUAAUGUCUGUUGUCCAUGCUGGCAUGGGUUGGACAGUUUGACCGGGGCUGGUAAGCUGGAAGGCUGUACUGGACUCCAGUCUGAUUGGGCAUGGUUUUCUAUGGCUGGAUGCCCUUCCUAAUGCUAACCACUCCAAGAGUGUAAUGGGUGUUUUUACAUGCCACCGGCACAGGUGCCAUUUGCAUGACACCAGUGUCUGCCACGACUGCGAUCACGACAUAAUUCCAAAGGUCUCAGUCAUUGCUUCCAUGAGGCCCAACACUCAGGAACUCAGCCACUUUGCCUCCAUGAGGCCCAACACUUGAAAUUAACUCAGCCACUUUGCCUUUAUGAGGCCCAACGCUAUUUAUAAAUAUAUAUGAUGGACUUCUUUCAGUUUCCAUCCACUCCCAGGGCUUUGAUCAGCCCAAGGCUAUCAGUAGGCGCCUAGUCAAGGUACCACACACUGGGACCGAAACCAGAACCUUGCUGUUGAAAAGCAAAUUUUUUACUCCACAGCUAAUCUAUAUACAAAAUUUAACAAUGUAAAUAUAUUUAGAAAUAUGCUUAAAAAAAGUUUGAUGAGAAAAGUGCUUACACAGCCAAGUACUUAUUCUGUUGGUUUCUUUUUGCUGGACUGCUAAGUUACGUGGACGUAAACACAACACCAUUGGUUGUCAAAUGAUGUUGGGGGAACAAACACAGACACACAAACAUAUACACAUACACACACACAUAUAUAUAUAUAUAUAUAUAUAUACACACACACACACACACACAUAUAUACGACGGGCUUCUUUCAGUUUCCGUCUACCAAAUCCACUCAUAAGGCUUUGGUCGGCCCAAGGCUAUAGUAGAAGACACUUGCCCAAGGUGGCAGGUUCAGUCCCACCAUGUAGCACUUUGGAAAAUUGUCUUCUACUAUUGCUUUGGGCCGACCACAGCCUUGUGAGUGGAUUUGGUAGAUGGAAACUGAAAGAAGCCUGUCGUAUAUGUGUGUGUAUAUACAUAUAUGUGUGUGUGUGUGUGUGUGUGUGUGUGUAUGUUUGUAUGUCUGUGUUUGUCCCCUGCCCACCAUCACUUGACAACUGAUGCUGGUGUGCUUAUAUCCCCGUAACUUAGCAGUUCGGCAAAAAGAAACCGAUAGAAUAAGUACUAGGUUUACAAAGAAUAAGUCAAUUUGCUCGACUAAAGGCGGUGCUCCAGCAUGACCACAGUCAAAAGACUGAAACAAGUAAAAGAGUAAAAAAGACAUUAUAAAAACAUCUUCCAGAGUAGUUUAUGACAUUGAGUGUUUCUAAAAAUUUUUUUUUAAUAUUUAAUAAUUUUAAAGAAAAUCUUUCCUCAAAUAUUGUUAUCGUAUAAAAUAUUUUAGCAAAAACAUUCAGGUGUGUGUGUUUGGAGUGAAGACAGGAGAGAUAUGCAAUGAUAUACAAUUGAAAGAUCUUGGAAGGGUUGGCCAAACUUUGGCAUUGAGAGCUAUACCAGCCUCUGAACUGGACACCACAGCAAUGUUCUAAAGGGAUCAGCUAUCCUGUCUAGAGUGAGGACUAUGUUCUGCAAUAGCAUGGAAUUCAAGGGCCCAUAUCUAUGUAAUAUCUUGCUAAAAUAUCUGGGAGAUUUACUUGGGGUAGGGGUAGCUAUUUUCAGCAAACAACUUGACCUCCUGCUGUUCAACAUCACAGAUGAACCUACAUCAUUGCAAGAAACUUAAAAGAGGGCAACAAUGUCAAACUCCCUGCUUCACUAAAAACCAGUCACAAAAGAACGGCCAUUGGAAAGGUGAUAACACUGACAAUGUCCCAGCAUGGCUACAGCCUUUGGGUUGAAAUACAUAAAAGAAUAAAAAGGUGUAUGUGUGUGUGUGUAUGUAGAUUGUGUGUAUCAUGCAUAUUGCAGAUCAAUAAAUUUUUAUUGUACGUAGUCUAUACAUGGCUGUUAGUUUGUAUCAUGCACUUGCACAUGCAUUGAUAAAACGUGUGCAUGCAAGCAUGCAUGUGCAUCUAGGCAUGUGCAUUCCAGUUUAACCCUCUCCAUUCUAGUAAUUUCUUUCAGCUAUGCUGUUGAAAUUGCUAUUUUUAGCAGCAAUGGUUGCGUCUAUUCUUUGGAAGAAAAUGCUAACUUCCUGUUCCUAUGACAAUAGUGAGCCUGUUCAUACCAGAAUAAACUUUUCAAAUAUGUUUUAAUGUUGGUUAAGAAAUUUCUUUGUUUUUUUUUCUUUUCUUUUUUUUUUUAAACAUUUUUCUGCUCUCCGCCCCUCCCCAUCCUUUUUUAAAAUAUAUUUUCUAAUUUUUUUUUUUUUUUUUACUUUUUCCCCCUUCGCACCUACAUCCCCAUCCUGCUUCUUUCUAUUUCUAACACUUUGAUAUUUUGAUAUUUCAGAUAUUUUAUUUAAUAAGACCAUGGUGCUGGUUAUAACAAUAUUAUAUUAGUAAUAAUAACAAUAAUAAUAAUAAUAAAAAUAAUAAUAAUUAUUAUUAUUAUUAUUACUAAUAGUAAUAAUAUUAGUAAUAGUAAUAUCAAAAGUAAUAUUAAUAGCAAUAAUUAUAGUAAUAACAGUAAUAUUAAAAAUAAUGCUAACAGUCAUAAUAAUAAUAAUAAUAAUAAUAGUAAUAAAAAUGAUAUUAAUGAUGGUGAUGAUAAGGAUGAAAUGAAUGCAAUAAAUGCAUAGAAAUGCUGAUGAAAAGUAUUUCAGUGAGGAUAAGGGUGAUGAUGACAGUCAGUGAAGUUGAUUAUGAUAAUGGUUGCUUUUAUUUGCCACAAGGUCGAGAGACAAUAGAACAGUACAGUUGUACCAAACUGCAUGUCUUACAAAUCAAUAACAAGGAACAUGCAAAAUUGUGCCAGGUAUACAAACACACACAUGUGCGUGUGCAUAUAUAUAUAUAUAUAUAUAUAUAUAUAUAUCAAUCAUGUGCACACACUAACAUGCAUACAUAUGCAUGUGCACACAUAAGCACUCACACAUGCAGAUAAACAAACAUGUGCAUGCACACCUACAUGCACAUGCAUGUUCACAUGCAGAUGCAGAGUAAAUGUGCAUGAGUAACUAGAUCUUUGUACAGUUUCAACAAUGAAUUUUCCAGUUCUUCUAUCAACUGAAAUGCUUACAUCAGUAAAUUAUAGCACCAGUACUGGUUCUCAUACUGCCUUGUACUUGUAGUGCCAUUCACCCGGGAUGGAUUGAGCCAGCUCUGAUCAACAAGUUCAUCAUGUCCCUCAUGAAUGCUGACCACCUUCCUUGAAAAAAAGUAAGGUAAAGUUACCUCCUGGAGCAAUGCCAGGCUCAUAAGAGCCAGUUCCUUGGUUUCAGUGGUGUAUAUAUUCCUCACCUGGAUGGGACGCCAGUCCAUUGCAGGAUUAUUCAUUUUUGCCAGCUGAGUGGACUGGAGCAACGUGAAAUGAAGUGUCUUGCUCAAGAACACAAUGCAUCACCCAGUCUAGGAAUCGAAACCACAAUCUUAUUUCUUUACUGCCCACAAGGGGCUAGACACAGAAGGGACAAAUGGAUUAAGUCGAUUAGAUUGGCCCCAGUGCAUAACUGGUACUUAAUUUAUUGACCUCAAAAGGAUGAAAGGCAAAGUCGACCUCGGCGGUAUUUGAACUCAGAACAUAACGGCAGAUGAAAUAGAGCUAAGCAUUUCGCCCGGUAUGCUAACAUUUCUGCCAGCUCGCCCCCUUCGAAACCACAAUCUUACCAUCAUGAGUCCUACACCCUAACCACUAAGCCAUGCACUUCAAUAGAUGCUGACCACAUCCAACAAUGUUGAGGCCAUAGUUGUCCUUCGCCAUGGAGGUGCAGAGUUCAUGUACAGAGUUUUAGUGGGGAUACCAGUUCACAUGUGGUCCCCAAUCACAUGUAUACACACUUUGGGAUAGUGUGAUCCAUAACAACCCAUCUUGCCGUCAAUUGUCAACCUUUACAGAAGAUUCAUGGACCAAGUCACCCCUGAUUAUCAGAGUGGUGUUGCCUGGAUUUGAAGCAGGUUCUAGAGACAUGCUUUAGCAAAAGCUAAGAGGUGCCUCACUCCCAGUGGUCUUCCAGCACACCAGACACCAACCUGGAAUUUCUGAGGGCCUAUGCUAUUACUAGAUAGACAUUGAACCAACACUAGAUUCAUCUAUCCUUUUGACAGGUUUUGUUUUUAGUUCUGCUGGGUUUCUAGCAACCCUCCUCACCAGGCAAGCCUAGUGUGUGUGCUGGCUUAGUCACCAACGAUCUGACCAUACAACAAGUUGUACUGGAUCCCAUGUUACCGUUAGCAUUUGUAAGGGACGUCACAAGUGACCUGACAUGAUACCAUUAGUGGCCAGCACAUGAGCCCAUAAAGUAAUCAUCAGGUACAAUCAAACCAACACAUGUUGGCCCCUUUGAAGUACAGGUACAGUCCAGUUCAUUCAACAGGCUUCUGCAGUUUUCAUGUAUUCAUUUUCACUCACAAUGCAUGGGCUGUUCCCACCUGCCCUCAAUUCAAUAAGUAAAUUACAACCAACUCCUAAAUAUAUAACUAAGCAGCAACAAAUAUAUAUAUAUAUAUAAAUAAAAUGUACUGAUCCAUGAUAAAAAAGUAAACAAAAAAAGUACUCCAUCUGGUGAGAGAUACAUAUUAUUUAUUUAUUAUUUAUUUGUGACCUUUAAAUAAAUAAUAUAUAGCACUCCACAGACAUGGGUACCCUUAACACAGUUCUCGGGGGAGAUACUGAGUGACACAGUGUGCCAAGGCUGGCCUCUUUGAAAUACAGGUACAACAGAAACAGGAAGAAAGAGUGAAAGAAAGUUGUGGUGGAAGAGUACAACAGGGUUCGCCACAACCCCCUGUAGGGGCCUUGUGGAACUUUAGGUGUUUUCGCUCAAUAAACACUCAUAAUGCUCGGUCUGGGAAUUGAAACCACAAUCCCACAACAGUGAGUCCACUGCCCUAAACACUGGGCCAUUGUGCCUUCACAUGCGCUCAUACAGUGCAGUGUUGUGAAGAACCUGUAGCAUUUAAUUCAAAAUUGAAACUGAUGGAGGAUGUAUCAUCAUCCCCACCCACUGCCAUCACAAUCAUCAUCAUCAUCUGCAUCAUCGUUACCAUCUUCAGGUAUAAAAAACCGCGACAAUUAUCAACAAUUUUUAUUAAUUUUUUCAUAUAAAAAUUACUUUCUAUUCAUCUGCAGAAACCAUUAAUUAUUAUAAUUUCAUUAACUAGUCAUUAACUAAUGCAAAAAAAAAAGAAAGAUAAAAGGAUAAGGAAGGAAAAAUACAAAAAGAAUUCAGCAUUAUUCUAAUUGCUUCGUUACAAAAUGAAAUUAUAAUUUCUUUUUUUGCUAGAUUACUUAAUGCUAGAGAUGGAAAGGUAAUAGGGAUGAAAGAAAUAAUGGUGAUGGUGAUGGUGGUGGUGGUGGUGGUGUUGGUAGCGGUGGGUGGUAGUGGUGAUGAUGAUGAUGGAGAUGGUGGUGAUAAGCAGGAUGAUGGUGGCAGUGGUGGUGGUGAUGUUGGUGAUGGAGAUGGUGGUGAUAAAGAGGAAGGUGGUGGUGCUAGUGGUUUGGUGAUGGUGGUAGUCAUGAUAAUGUAAUGCUGGUGUUGAUGAUAAUCAUACUGAUAGUGAUGAUGAUACAUCCUCCAUCAGUUUCAAUGCCGAGCAUUCAAUCAUUCAGUCAGUUCAACUACCUGCUUCUGAAACUAACGUUUAAGUGGCUGAGUACUCCACAGAGUUGUGUACCUGAAAUGUAAUCCUAUUUAUGAAAUCUCUGUGACCCAGUAUCUGACUAGGAUGGACCUUUGAAAUACAGGUAAAAAUAGAAUCCAUCUGACAAGAGUGAACCUGGGACCUUAAGAUUGUAAAUUGAGGGAAAUUUGGCAGGAUGGUCAGUCACCCACUGAUAUUUGUUGACGCUGCAUUGAAGAAACCAAAGAACAAAAGAAAAAAGGGGAAAGAAGAAAUGCAUUCAACACCAGAGCUGAAGGCACCUCUGAAAGGAGCGGGGUCCCACCAUGUCGAAAAUUGUAGAGGAGUAGGAGCCAAAACUGGACAUGGUUCCUCCUGAUGAUGUCUUUGGCCACUGGAUCCUAUAAAGGAGCUGUUGAGGUAGCGAACCAUGAAACAUGGUUGGAAUUCCUCCUUCCAUUGUUGCAGCUUUGUAACAUGUUCUUUGCUCAGGACAUCAUUUGUCACCUGGGACAUUUCAUGGUCAAAAAAUUGUUUGUAAACCAAUUUCUUCAAGAUGAGAGGCAUUCGUAAACCAAGGAUCUAAUCUGUGUGUGUAUGUGUACCAAGAACUCAUUGAAAUAGUGAAAUUUCAAUUUCUGGUGAAUUAAUGAAUAAGAUCCUUAGUACUCACAUUCUCUUUUAUUUAUGUUUCUGUUCAUAGACAAUAAAGACACAUACAUUCUGGAAGUUUUUUCUCUCAGUUAGACAUGAUUGAUUGAUUGAUUCUAGUUUCAGCUUAUGAGCUGUGGCCAUGCUGGGGCACCGCCAUUUAAACCUUUUUCUUUUCAAAGCAGCAAGCUGGCAGAAACAUUAGCACGCCAGGCGAAAUGCUUAGCGGUAUUUCGUCUGCUGCUACGUUCUGAAUUCAAAUUCGGCUGAGGUCGACUUUGCCUUUCAUCCUUUCGAGGUCAAUUAAAUAAGUACCAGUUACGCAUUGGGGUUGAUAUAAUCGACUUAAUCCGUUUGUCUGUCCUUGUUUGUCCUCUCUGUGUUUAGCCCCUUGUGGGUAGUCAAGAAAUAGGUAUUUUGUCUGUCUUUACAUUCUGAGUUCAAAUUCCACCUAGGUCGACUUUGCUUUUCAUCCCCUCAGGCUCAAUUCAUUAAGUACCAGCUGCAUUCUGGGGUCGAUCUAAUUGACUGGUUCCUUCCCCCCAAAUUUCAGGCCUUACUCUUAGAGUAGAAAAGAUUUAAACCUUUUUUUUUUUAUGUACUUGAAAACUCAAGCCUUAUGGAACUUGGGUUUUAUGUAAGAAAGAAACACAACUCUGGUAGAUAAGAUUUCCUAAUUAUUCACCAUCAUCAUCAUUUAAUGUCCAUUUUCCAUGAUGGAAUGGUGCUGAAUGGUUUGAUGGAAGCUGGCUAGGCCAGGAGCCAUACCAAAUUCCAUUGUCUACUUUGGUUUCAUCUCUUCAGCUGGAUGUCCUUCCUAAAGCCAACCACUUGACAGAGUGUACUGGGUGCUUUUUAUGUGGCACCAACACCAAAGCUUUUUAUAUGGUACCAUUAUCAGAACCUUUCAUAUGACACCAGUACCUGUGCUUUUUAGGUGCUACCAACACUGAUAAGGUCACCAAGUACCUUACAAGGCAAAAAUGUUUCUGGUGGGGGUGGGGAAUACUAUUGAUGGGGUGUGGUUUUGUUCCACUUGAGGAAUUUAAGGUACAUUUAGGUGUCUAACUGUAGGGUGGAUGCAUAGAUACCCCAGUUGGUAGCUACCCUAGUUGGAAAACAAAAGAGAAGGAUACUGAGAAAAACGAUGGGUUAUUAGAAUCAAUUUCUAGGAUUUAUUUCUUAUUUGAUUUUUCCAUUCACAUCUUCCAGGAAGAACUAAAUAAUAAUAAUAAUAAUAAUAAUGGCUUCACAGUCAGAAGACUUCCAGUUGAAAACCUAUGAAUCUGUAGCAGAAAAUUUCAUCAAACUCUGUCGAGAGCAUUCCAACAUCAGUGGUUAUUCCAAGCUGGAGAAAAAAUGUCGAGCUGAGCUGAAGUUCUUGGAAAAGGUAAGUCAUUGCAAUAAAAUAUUGCUUUCUCUCACUUGUUUCAGUCAUUUGACUGCGGUCAUGCUGGAGCACUGCUUUGAAGAAUUUUUGGUUGAAUGGAUCAACCUUAGGACUUUUUUUUUUGUUUUUCUAAGCCCAGUACUUUUUCUAUCAGUCUUUUUUGCUGAACUGCUAAGUUACAGGGAUGUAAACACACCAACACCGGUUGUCAAGUGGUGGUGGACAAACACAGUCACAAAGGCAUAUACACACACACGUUUUUUGCAUUUCUUUUAUUCUUUAAUUUGUUUCAGUCAAGUGAGUGAGCCAUGCUGGAGCAUCGCCUUUAGUCAAACAAAUCAACCCGAGGACUUAUUCUUUGUAAGCCUAGUACUUAUUCUAUCAGUUUCUUUUGCUGAACCGCUAAGUUAUGGAGACAUAAACACACAAACAUUGGUUGUCAAACAAUUUUUUAAUAUUUUUUGAUCACUGUCUUGGAAAUAAGCUUAUGAAAAAUAUUUUUUAAAUUUAUGAUUUGGUUAUAAAUGAAUAUCAGCUUAUUACAUCCAUAUUUUCAUAUAAGAGAAUAGUUAAUUUAGUUGGACUUGAAUCCACUGUCCUAUUGGAUGAAGUGUAGUAGGUGCCACUCUGAACUGUGAAUUCUCUAAAAAGCACAUCAAUAAUAUAGGCACAGGCAGAGCUGUAUAUUUUAAAAUCUGGUUCUUGGUUUAGGCCAUGCCAAGCUUCUUGGGCAAGGGUCUUCUUAUGCAGGCUCGAGUUAACACUUUGAGUAAAAGAUGGUAGGUAGAAAUGGUAUAGAAGUCAAUUGCAUGUGUGUGUGUAUUUGAAUAUCUAUAUACACACAUAUAUGCGUGUGUGUGUUUACAUUUAUAACCAGUGAUGUUGGUGUACUGUAGCAAAUGGUCUGACAAAUAUAUACAUUGAUAAAAUAAAAUAUGUACCAAACUUUAAAAUAUGUACAGGGGUUGAUAUGCUUCACUGAGCCCUUGAUAGUGCCCCAGCAUGACCAGAAUCCAAAACCAAAUAACAAAACUAAAUGAAUCAAAGCAUAUACAUGCAUAGAUAUACCAUUUUUUUAUUUAUAUUUGUGUAUCUGCAAUAAUUACUUUUGGAGGUAAUUGCAACAAUUACCUUGUAACGAAGUGCUGUCACAGGCUUAGUGAUGUCUUGAUAUCCUGCCUUCUGCCUCUCCAUCUUCAAGUUUAUAUCUCUUCAUCUUUACCUGCUUUCUCUUUCAUAUACAUCUCUCUCUCUCUCUCUCUCACUUCCUCUCCCUCAGCAUCUUUCUCUAUUCAAGUUACAUCUUUUAGCAUUAGACAAACAAGUGAGAAUGUACAGUUGUAUUAAUAUAUUGUUGUAACUCAUUACAUCAGAUAAAGCUUCUCAAUUUAUUUCCUAAAUGCGAUAUUUAUUACAUUAAGUUCUCAAGUUUUCACUUAAAUGUAUUUCUAUUCUUAGUCAACCCAAGAUUAAUAAUCAGAUGUUGUCAUUGUAAAUCAUUCUCUUCAUAAUUAUGUGUAACAGGAUAUAUUGAUGUGGAUGUCAUUCAUCCAUCCAUCCAUCUGAUCAUAACUCAAGCCAGAGCAUGACACUUCAGGUUAUUCUGCCAUUCAACCCAGUUAUUUAGCUCUUCCAUAAUAUAUAUAUAUAUUAUAAAGUAAGAGCAGGAAAAUUACAUCAAAAAGUCAUCACAGAAGAUAUACGUCCAAAAUAAUAUUGUAUUAAUUAUUUAAAAGGUUAUUUUAUAAUAGGCGUAGGAGUGGUGGCUGGUAAGUAGCUUGCUUACAAACCACAUGGUUCCGGGUUCAGUCCCACUGCGUGGUACCUUGGGCAAGUGUCUUCUACUAUAGCCUUGGGCCGACCAAAGCCUUGUGAGUGGAUUUGGUUGACUGAAACUGAAAGAAGCCCAUCAUAUAUAUGUAUAUAUAUAUAUAUAUAUAUAUAUAUAUGUAUAUGUGUGUGUGUGUAUGUUUGUGUGUCUGUGUUUCUCCCCCCAACAUCGCUUAACAACUGAUGCUAGUGUGUUUACAUCCCCGUAAUGUAACUUAGUGGUUCAGCAAAAAAGACUGAUAAAAUAAAUACUAGGCUUACAAAGAAUAAGUCCUGGGGUCGAUUUGCUUAACUAAAGGCGGUACUCCAGCAUAGCCACAGUCAAAUGACUGAAACAAGUAAAAGAAUAUAUAAACAAUUGUUCUGUGUUUAAUGUGGUUGAAUUACGGAUGGCAAACCAAAUGCUGUGGGCUAGGUGCGUGACUCAGUGGUUAGAGUGCCAGACUGACAAUCAUGAGGUAGUGAGUUUAAUUCCCAGGUCGGAUUGUGUGUUGUGUUCUUCAGCAAGGCAUUUUAUUUCACGUUGAUCCAGUUCACUCAGCUGUAGAAAUGAAUUGCGAUAUCACUGGUGCCACGCUGUAUUGGCCUUUGCCUUUCCCUUGGAUAACAUCAGUGGUGUGGAGAGGGGAGGCUGGUACGCAUGGGUGACUGCUGGUCUUCCAUAAACAACCUUGCUUGGACUUGUGCCUCAGAGGGAAACUUUCUAGGUGCAAUCACAUGGUCAUUCAUGACCGAAGGGCAAGCUAAGGGGGGAAUCCAAAUAAGAAUAAGUCUGCUUGGCACAAUCAUUGUUAUUAAUUUGGUUACAAAUUUGGCACAUCAUCAUCAUUUAACGUCCGUUUUCCAUGCUGGCAUGGGUUGGACAGUUUGACUGAGGUUUGGAGAGCCAUCGGCUGCACGAGGCUCCAGUCUGAUCUGGCUAUAUUUCUACAGCUGGAUGCCCUUCCAAGAGUGUAGUGCAUGCUUUUUAUGUGCUAGCAGCACAGGAGCCAGUACGGUGGCCUUUGCAUUGCUCAUGUUCGGACAGUGGCAUGGGAGACAUUCAGGGAGUACUGGCAACGACCAUGUUUGAAUGGUGCUUUUUACAUGCCACCAGCACAGGAGCCAGUCAGGGGGCACUGGGGAUGGCGGGGAAGAUGCAAAUUGAUUACAUCGAUCCCAGAGCUCAGCUGGUACUAAUUUUAUUGAUCCAAUAAAGAUGAAAGGCAAAGUUAACCUCAGCAGAAUUUGAACUCAGAACAUUUUGCUUGGCAUGUUAAUGAUUCUGCCAGCUGGCUGCCUUCUGUAUUGGUUUCAAAAUUUGGUACAAGGUCAGUUAUUUAUGGGGCAGAGCUAAGUUGAUCACAUAAACCCCUCAAUGCUCAACUGUUUCUUAUUUCAUUGACUCUGAAACGAUGACAGUCAAUGUCAGCCUUGGCAGAAUUUGAACGUAAAGACGGACGAAAUUCCUCUUAGCAUUUCGCCCAGCAUGCUAACACUUCUGCCAGUUCACUGCCUCAUGACUAAGAAAAUAUUGUAAACAAGCCAAAAUAUCAUAGACUGUUAGCACAAACUUAUGAAAAUUGCUUAUGAUGGAUCAGUAGGUAUGUGGAAAAGUCACAUUAUCUCAUUAUGUCUCCUUUCCCAGCUUACAUAACCCGCAUGAUAGGUGUCUUAUAUUAUUUAAUGAAUCUUAUUGAUAGGGGUGUGCCUUGUAUGCAAUUACGGUAGUUUCAUACACCUUUUUCUAGAAUCUUCAAAUUUUUUUAACCUAAUAAAUCCUUAUACUCUUAAUUUUUCUGUCAAGAUAUAUAACAUUAAUUUUACUUAGCUACCAAAAAUAUUUUCUUCAGCUUUUUUUUUUAAUAUUUUUAAUUCAAUAGUUUUGUACGUCUUUAUUCAUAUAUAAUUUCUAAACCUUUUUACUUGAUUUUUUUUUCCCCCCCUGAUUCAGGCCAACAAAUAACAACUCAUAACUCAAGUGUUAGAUUAAAAUGUCAGCUAUUUUUCAGCAUUACCUUGUUGAAAGAUUUCAAAUUUUGGGGGAGGAUUUUUUUCCGACAGUAAGAAUGUUUUAAUCAAGUUUACAUUAAGCAUCUCUCUGUCUCACUCACAUGUGUGGUGGAAUGGUUGUGUGGUUAAGAAGCUCAGUUUGUAACCUUAUGGUUUUUGGUUCAGUUCCACUGCAUAGCUCAGGCCUACCAGUGCCUUGGGAGUGAAUUUUAUAGACAGAAACUGUGUGGAAGUCUGUUCAUCAUCAUCAUUAUGAUCAUUUAAUGUCCGUUGUCCAUGCUGGUAUUGGUUUGGGCAGUUUGACCAGAGGUGGCAAGCUGGAGAGCUGCACCUGUAUCCAGUCUGAUUUUGCAUGGUUUCCAUGGCUGGAUGCCCUUCCUAAUACCAAACAUUUUUACCAUGUGUGUUGGCUGCUUUUAUAUGACACUACACAGGUGAUUUUAUGUGAACCCUCACGGGUCCUUUUUAUUCCUUUAUUUAUUUAUUCGUUUCAGUCCGUGGCCAUGCUGGAGCACCACCUUUAGUCGAACACCUUGACCCCAGGACUUAUUCUUUGUAAGCCUAGUACUUACUCUAUCAGUCUCUUUUGCAGAACCGCUAAGCUAUGGGGAUGUAAACACACCAACAUCGUUUGUAAAAACCACCAUUUGAGUGUGAUCGUUACCAGCAUCGCCUUACUGGCUCUCGUGCUGGUUGCAUGUGAAAAACAUUCAAACAAGGUUGUUGCCAGUACCGCUAGACUGGCUCCUGUGCAGGUGGCACAUAAAAAAACACCAUUUGAGUGUGGGUGUUGCCAGUAUCGCCUGAUUGGCCCUCGUGUCGGUGGCACGUAAAAGCACCCACUACACUCUCGGAGUGGUUGGCGUUAGGAAGAGCAUCCAGCUGUAGAAACUUUGCCAGAUCAGAUUGGAGCCAUCUGGUUCGCCAGUCCUCAGUCAAAUCGUCCAACCCAUGCUAGCAUGGAAAGCAGAUGUUAAACGAUGAUGAUGGUGACUCUAGGCACAAGGUCUGAAAUUUUGAGGGAGGGGCCUGUCAAUUAGAUCGACCCCUGUAUGCAACUGGUACUUAAUUUAUCGACCCAGGAAGGAUGAAAGGCAAAGUCAACCUUGGUGGAAUUUGAACUCAGAACAUACGAAAUAGCGCUAAGCAUUUUGCCUGGUGGCCAACAUUUCUGCCAGCUCGCCGCUUUCUGCAAAUAUUCUUUUCUACUCUAGACACAAGGCCUGAAGUUUCUGGAGAGGGGCCAGUUGAUUAGAUCGAUCCCAGUAUGCAAUUUAUCAACCCCAAAAAGAGGAAAAGCAAAGUCGACCUCGACUGAAUUUGAACUCAGAAUGUAAAGACAUUUUGCUCGGUGUGCUAACGUUUCUGCCAGCACACUACCUUCUGCAAUUAUUGGAAAUAUUCUGGCCAUGGGGAAGCAUCACCUUGCUUGGAAACGGCAGAAGGUUGGUGAUGGGAAGAUCAUUCACCCAGAGAAAAUCAGUUUCAGCAAAUUCCUUCUGACCCAUGCAUCCCAUGGAUUACAUUAGAUUGUCUUGCCUAUGUUCAGUCCACUGCAGGAUGAAGGCCUCAGUAUGUUCUCUCUAUCAACCACAGUCUGAUGUGAAGGCCAUGAAUUUGAGCUUGUGGCCAUACUAGUUUCAUGAGCCUACUCUGCUACACAGGUUUGACAUUGCUUGGCACAUGGAUAUACUUUUUAUUCUCUUAUCCAACUGUCAUUAAAUCAAUUACACUGACCCCAGUGCUCAAUAAGUGCUUAUUUUAUCAGCCCUGAAAGAAUGAUGGGCAAGGCUGACCUUGGCAGGAUUUGAACUCAGGACAUGAAGACAGAUGAAAUACUGUUGAGCAUUUCAUCUGGUGUGCUAACGAUUCUGCCAGCUUACCACCUGAUGAUGAGGAUGAUGAUAAUUUCAAUUCUUUGAUCGUAAUUUGAUACAUCUGUUUUGCAUAACUUCAAAGCUACCGUUGCCUUCCUUGUCUUUGUAUAAUUAAAACCACCUACAUCUUGUCAUGUUUGUUUGUAUCUGUGUGUGUAUGUUUGUGGAGAGAGAGAGAGAGAGGGAAAGGGAAUAAAAAUAAAGAUAAAAAAAUUUAUUGGAAGGAAUGAAAAAGCACACACAUACAAACAUUCAUAAAAAUUAAAUUCUAAUUUUUGUCUGUCUAAUUAAAAAUUUGAUAAUUGAAAAUCGUAUUGUAGUGUUUCAAUUAUUGCCGCAGACCUAGAAGGAUGACAAUAAACUAAUUAUCACCAUCAUCGUUAUUUCAUUUACAUUAUUAUUAUUUUAUAAAAGAAUCAUCAUCAUCAUCAUCAUUUAACGUCUGCUUUCCAUGCUGGCAUGGGUUGGACAGUUUGAUGGAGGACUGGCAAGCCAGGAGGCCAUGCCAGGCUUCAAUCUGCUGGAGCCUCGUGGAGCUUUAGGUGUUUUCACUCAAUAAACACACACAACGCCCGGUCUGGGAAUCGAAACUGUGAUCCUCCGACCGUGAGUCCGCUGCCCUAACCACUGGGCCAUUGCACCUCCACAUUAUUAUUAUUAGUAGUAGUAAAGGAAGGGAGCUGGUAGAAUCCUCAUUGUGUCAGACAAAAUGCUUAGCAGUGUUUCUUUUGGCUUUUUAUAUUCUGAGUUCAAAUACCUUUGAAUUCAGAAUAUAGAGAUCAACUUUGCCUUUCAUCCUUUUGGGGUCAAUGAAAUAAGUACCAGUUAUGCACUGGGGUUGAUGUAAUCGACUAGCCCCCUUUCACCCCAAAUUUUCAAGGCCUUGUGCCUAGAGUAGAAAUAAUUAUUAUUGUGUUGGGCCUCACAGAGGCAGGGUGGCUGAGUUCCUUUUGAGUGUUGGGCCUCAUGGAGGCAAUGACCAAGACCUUUGGCAUUAUGUCAUGAUUGAGAAGAAGACCCAUCAAGCUGAGCAAAAUCACAGUCAUGGCAGAUGCCAGUGGCAUGUAAAUGCACCCUGGUGUCAUGCAAAUGGCACGUAAAGACACUCAUUACACUCUUGGAGUGGUUGCCAUUAGGAAGGACAUCCAGCCAUAGAAAACCAUGCCAAAUUAGACUGGAGUCUGAUGCAACCUUCCAGCAUGUCACCCCCAGUCAAACCGUCCAACCCAUGCCAGCAUAGACAAUGGACAUUAAAUGAUGAUGAUGACGAUGUUGAUGAUGAUGAUUACUAAUAAGACAUUUCUAAUAGACAGAAAAUAAUUAAUCUUCAUUAAAAUCAUAGAAUAUCUAUUUUUGUUUUUCUUCUGCAUUGCGUGUUAGUAAUUUCACUAUCACAACAGAACGUAGGCUUAGGAGUGGCUGUGUGGUAAGUAGCUUGCUUACGAACCACAUGGUUCUGGGUUCAGUCCCACUGCAUGGUACCUUGGGCAAGUGUCUUCUAUUAUAGCCUCGGGCCGACCAAAGCCUUGUGAGUGGAUUUGGUAGACGGAAACUGAAAGAAGCCUGUUGUAUAUAUGUAUAUAUAUGUGUGUCUGUGUUUGUACCCCAACAUCGCUUGACAACCGAUGCUGGUGUGUUUAGGUCCCUGUAACCUAGAGGUUCGGCAAAAGAGACUGAUAAAAUAAGUACUAGGCUUACAAAGAAUAAGUCCUGGGGUUGAUUUGCUUGACUAAAGGCGGUGCUCCAGCAUGGCCACAGUCAAAUGACUGAAACAAGUAAAAGAGAACAGAACAGAGAGAGAGUGUGAGCGCGAAAUAUUGUUCUUAGUGUUUACAUACAGGGUAACUAUUUUCGGUGAGUUCUACCUUGCAGAGGGGUUCUAAUAGUUGCUAGUAUUUGUGAAGGUGCAUGGCUUAAUGUUUAAGGCAUUUGGCUCACAAUUGUAUGGUUGUGAGUUCUCUUCCUGGCAGUUCAUUGUGUUCUUGUGCAAAAUACUUUAUUUCAUGUGACUCCAGUCAACUCAGCUGACAAAAAUGAGUUGUGCCUGUAAUUACAUAGGGGCCAGUCUUGCCACAUUCUGUGUCAUUCUGUUCUCCCUGAGAACUAUAUUAAGGGUACGCAUGUCUGUGGAGUGCUCAGCCACUUGCAUGUUAAUUUCACAAGCAGGCUGUUCCAUUGAUCACAUCAGCUGGAACCUUCGUCAUUUAACUCAAUGGUUCCCACACUUUCUUGGGCUGACACUCAGGCCACAUUCUUAGCGUCCCCCAUCCAGACUGACCAUCGCAAGCAUAGACCUCUUUCUGGAGUAAAUUCAAAGCAACUGUGUUUCACAAAUAAAAACUUAACCUAACGGACCCAUUAUUUUGUUGUUUUUACAUGAAUCACUUCCCCCAUUAUUACCCCACUUUUUACAUGAAUUGCUACCCCAUUUUUGUCCCACUUUUCUUCAACGCCGGGGGGACAAUACUGCCCACUUUGGGAACCACUGAGAGGGAGCCAAGCUGAUAAGCGCAUGUGAGUUAUAUUGUUUUAUUACUUACAAUGCUGGCCCUUGUGAAUUACAGGUACCACUCACUUUUUCCAGCUGAGUGAACUGGAGGAGUACCUUGUAAAAACGUGCUGCUGGUUUUGGAACCCACAAUUGUAAGCCAAAUACCCUAACCACUAAGCCACGCACCAGCAGAUACCAGCUGACUAUUGCAUAAUCUAUUGUUAUACAAACAUACACAGAUAACAACAUAUGCACAUACACACUCAAACACUGUCACAUAUUGUUACGUACACUUACCAACAGUCUAUUCGUUUUAUGCAUACACACAUGCAUACAUAUAUAAAUACACACAUGCACAGGUAUCAGCAGAGAAUUGCACAAACGUUCACAGAUAACAACUCACACACAUACACACACACACACAGAUAUCAGCAGACAUUCCACACGCAGUCUGUAUGUUAAACAUACAGAUACCAACAUACACAUUCAGUUAUUGUUUCGCACACACACACACACACACACACACACACACAGUGUCUCACACAGUUAUAUGCACACACAAACACACACAGUCUCAUACAGUUACACUCACACACACACACAGUGUCUCACACACAAAUAUGCAGUUCCAUACAGGUACACAUGCACGCACACACACGUACACACAGUUUCAUACAGUUACAAGCAACACACAUACAGACACACAAUCUCGUACAGUUAUGCGUGCACACACACACACACACACACACACAUACAGUCUCGUACACACACAGUCUCAUACAGUUACGUGUACACACACAAACACUGAAACACCCAGUCUCAUACAGUUACACGCAUGCACACACACACACACACACAGAUAUUAGCAGACAAUCAGCAUCAUAUUUUUAAUUAAUUUAUUAUUUAUUGAAAUGCUAAAACCUUUGUGGGGCUCGGUGAGGGAGGAGGAGGGUAUAGUGACUAUAGCAGACUGACAGGUCGUGAUAAACUGAUAUGUCAGUCUUACCAAACCAAUUUCAUUAAUACAGAUUGAAUUUUGUAAUAUGUAAAGGUGGUCAUAUACUCUUUACUCUUUUACUUGUUUCAGUCAUUUGACUGCGGCCAUGCUGGAGCACCGCCUUUAAUCGAGCAACUCGACCCCGGGAUUUAUUCUUUUGUAAGCCCAGUACUUAUUCUAUCGGUCUCCUUUGCCGAACCGCUAAGUAACGGGGACAUAAACACACCAGCAUCGAGUGUCAAGCAAUGCUAGGGGGAUAAACACAGACACACAAACACAGACACACACACACACACAUAUAUAUAUAUAUAUAUAUAUAUAUAUAUACAUACAUAUAUACGACGGGCUUCUUUCAGUUUCCGUCUACCAAAUCCACUCACAAGGCUUUGGUCGGCCCGAGGCUAUAAUAGAAGACACUUGCCCAAGGUGCCACGCAGUGGGACUGAACCCGGAACCAUGUGGUUGGUAAACAAGCUACUUACCACACAGCCACUCCAACAAACAGGGGUCAUAAGAGAAGAUGACUUAUGAAACAAUAUACUAUCUGAUAUGUAUUCAUUGCAUUGUAAUACUUUUUUUCUUUUCAUAUAUUGUAUUAAUGUAUAUUGGAGAUAAUCACAUCUUCAUAGUAUUUGGCGGAAUUAGAAGCUUCAAUUUGAAAUUAAGGGAAAAGUUGCAUAGAAUACACAUCUUUUAUGGUUGGGUUUUGGUUUGGUUAUCUAUUUGUUUGCAUUCUUGUUAAUCAUUCUCAGAAAAUCUUUUAUUUAGAGGAUUAUUUGUAUUUUCAAUCCUCACAUUCUGCUUAUUUUCAUACCAAAUAUUCAUAUUUGUAUCGUUUCUUUAUUUCCUUUAGAAAUAUAUUGUCAUCAAUUUGUUCACACAAUGAGUAGAAGACAUCUUGUUUUUUUUUCCCUGAAGGGCUUCCGUAACAAUAUCUGGAUGAAUUUCCUUAAUCUCCCUGACUGCAUGAAUUGGCUUGUCUUUUGUCAUUCUAAGAGACUUUUUAAAAUGUAUGUUUGUACCAUCACUUUCCCGUGAGUAGUUUAUGAAGUUGGCAUCAUUUCCACAUCACUACUCUAUCUCACACUCUAUCAUAUCUGUGUGUGCAUGUGCAUGCAUGAACAUGCGUGUGUGUGUGUAUAUAUAUAGGUGAGAAGUUCCAGACAGUAUUUAAUGCUGAGGAGCAAGUGUUGUUUAUGGUUAUUGCAGCCGUCAUUUCACAUUUUGUAAUCAAAUUUCAUAUUCCCAGUCGUCAAACUGGACAUUCUUCCUGUGUAUGGAACUCCCAGUGGCAUCAUCCUUGGAAAUUGGGAAGAAACAAUUGGCGACAUUAUUUCUGGCAAAUACUGACCAACUGUAGCCAAUGUGAUUAAUUGUUUCUUCCUAAUUUUCACACAUUCUACAGUAAUAGAAAAGAAAAAGAAAAGAAGAAACAGAUAUUCCAUUAAUUUCAUCCAGACUGUAAUUACUUUCCAUCUGUAAGAAAUUCUGUUUCAUUAAAUGCAUAUAAUGGUUUGUGGAGGGCAGGCUUUUAUUUGGUACCACAAUCAAGAAUCCUUCAAUCUUAGGUUCAUGUCUUGCACUUCUCAACCAGUUUGGCAAAUUUUUUUUUGUUUAUUUCUCUAUUCUUAAUUUUUUUUUUUUUUCUUUCUCAAAUAUCAGCUUCAUGGCCAUCCUGCAGAACUUGGAAGUUCAUACAGGUGCACAAAUAGCUAUGUGGUGAGAAAUUUGUUUCACUACCAUGUUGUUUCAAAUUCAGUCCUACUAUUUGGCACCUUGGGCAAGCAUCUUCUGUUAUAUCCUUUGGCUAAUCAAAGCCAGGUAGGUGAAUUUGGUUAAUGGAAACUGAAAGAAGCCCAUCAUAUAUAUCAUCGUCAUCAUUUAUUAUCCACCUUCCAUGCUGAGCUAGUCAGGCAGAAGUCUGCAUCAGACUUCUGUGACUGUUUUGGCAGAAUUUUUACAGCUGGCUGCUCUUCCUAACUUAGCAGAGUGAAUUUAAUGCUUUUUAUGUUGCACAAGCACAGGUGAGGUCAGUUUUGGCAAGGUUUUUACAGCUGGAUGCCCUAAACUCUGACCCAUGCAAGUAUAGAAAAAUGAACAUUAAAGGUGAUGAUGGUGUAUUGACAUAACAAUGUACAUAAUUCUGCAGGAAGUAAUGGGUCUAGCCUCAUAUAAGCAUGGAAUCCUUGCAAUUGGAAUUUUUUUUAUUGUUGUUGGUAUUGCAGUUCCUAUAUUUGGAUGUGAAGGCUGUCUUGCUUCCAUGCGUUUAUAAGAUUGAUUUUAUUUCUGUGAAUGAUUCAUUUUAUGACUGUCUAAGUUGGUAGUGCUCAACUUUUAUAAUAUCCAGGCCAAAUCCAAAACUAGAAUGUUUCUUUUUUGUGGGGUGGGGCUGCACCAAAAAAAGUAAAACAAGUCAGUUAAAGAAAAAUUUAUAUUCAUAUGUGGUCUAGUUUGUAGGAUUCCUGGCUUUCACCCAGGUAGCCCAAGUUUGAUUCCUGGCAUGGGAACGCAUAUCUUAUAGGCACAGGCGUGGCUGUGUGGUAAGUUGCUUGCUUACCAACCACAUGAUUCCGGGUUCAGUUCCACUGCGUGGCACCUUGGGCAAGUGUCUUCUACUAAAGCCUCAGGCUGACCAAAGCCUUGUGAGUGGAUUUGGCAGACAGAAACUGAAAGAAGCCCAUUGUAUAAAUGUAAAUGUAUAUAUGUGUGUGUGUGUGUGUAUAUAUGUUUGUGUGUCUGUGCUUGUUCCUCCUACAUCGAUUGACAACUGAUGCUGGUGUGUUUACAUCCCCGUAACUUAGCAGUUUGGCAUAAGAGACCAAUAGAAUAAGUACUAGGCUUACAAAGAAUAAGUCUUGGGGUCAAUUUGUUUGACUAAAGGCGGUGCUCCAGCAUGGCCGCAGUCAAACGGCAGAAACAAAUAAAAGAAUAAAAAAAAUAAAAGCCUUCAUAGAGAGAAGACCAUUGGGGGCUGCUGGAAGGAAGCUUGAGGGCUGUGUGCCUCCCCAGGAGCAGCAGUUGAGAACCACUGAUCUAGACUUUAUUCAUUUACCAAUAAAUUUUAAGAAUUAAAGAAUAUCAACAGCAUGAGAUAAUAGUUGCAAAGGAACUGUAACAGAUCCCACAUGUACUUAAUCUUGUGUUCUUACUUAGUUUGUUUGGAUUUAGUAUGUCAUUCACACUGUUAAAUUACAAAGUUCUUCAUUAUUAUUAUUAUUAUUAUUAUUAUUAUUAUUAUUAUUAUUGUUAUUAUUAUUUGAUAAUAAUAACUAACUUACAAUGGUGUCAUUUUGAAAUUUACUGUCUUGCAAAAGAAUACAUAAGGUAAAAUUGAAAUUGUUCAGAUCUCACCUUGCAUUUGGGAGUAUAAUUUAGAUUGUAUUAGAAAUAUAUAAACAUCAAUGGAAUUUGUAUCUUUGUGGUACCAGUGCCGGUGGCACACAAGAAAACCAUCCGAACGUGGCCGUAGCCAGUACCACAUCGACUGGCCUCCGUGCAGUGGGCACGUAACAAACACCAUCCGAUCGUGGCCGUUCACCAGCCUCAUCUGGCACCUGUGUCGGUGGCACAUAAAAACACCAUCCGAGCGUGGCCGUCUGCCAGCCUCGUCUGGCACCUGUAUCGGUGGCACAUAAAAAACACCAUCCGAGCGUGGCCGUUCGCCAGCCUCGUCUGGCACCUGUGUCGGUGGCACAUAAAAUCACCCACUACACUCUCGGAGUGGUUGGCGUUAGGAAGGGCAUCCAGCCGUAGAAACACUGCCAGAUCUGACUGGGCCUGAUGAAGCCUUCAAGCUUCACAGACCCCAGUUGAACCGUCCAACCCAUGCUAGCAUAGAAAACGGACGCUAAAUGAUGAUGAUGAGUUUCAGGCAAAUUUCUUCUGCAUCACCUGCUACACUUCCAUGCUUUUUAUUAUUAUUAUUAUUAUUAUUAUUAUUAUUAUUAUUAUUAUUAUUAUUAUCAUUAUUACUAUUAUUAUUGUUGUUGUUGUUGUUGUACCUGUGUGUGUGCACGUGCGCUCUUGUGUGUGUCUGUAGCACAAUACAUUCGGUGCCAGACUGGUAUACUGCUAAAAAUGUAUUGGAUAAUAAUUCUAUUUCUUACAUGAAAGAUAAAUUUCCAAGAGUAAUCCAAUAAUGUUCUUUUAAACCGAACAUACCUUCAUUAAGAACAGUUUCUGACUACAUUCUCCAUCUGGAAACACCAGGUAUGCCAUUAUUUUAUAUCGCCUGUAUCAAGCAGAAUACAGGAUCUUUUUAUAUAACACUUGUUACAAUGUGCUUCAAAUUCUUAUUUGAUUGUACCUUUUCCACCUUGUCCCAAAUCAUUUGACUAAUACUCCACUAAUACUCCGUGACGGUGGCACGUAAAAUACACCAAUCCGACCGUACGACAGGCACCCAUGCCAACCCCCUUUGCUUGCGAAGACAUGUUGGGGCAAGUGAAAUCGAAUUGAACCAGCCAGGAUCCCUGGUCUGGUGGUACGUAAAAAGCACUAUCCGACUCGUGGCCGAUGCCAGCACCGCCUCGACUGGCUUCCGUGCCGGUGGCACAUAAAAUACACCAAUCCGACCGUGGCCGUUGCCAGCCUCGCCUGGCACCUGUGCAGGUGGCACGUAAAAAGCACCCACUACACUCACGGAGUGGUUGGCGUUAGGAAGGGCAUCCAGCUGUAGAAACAUUGCCAGAUAAGACUGGAGCCUGGUGCAGCCUUCUGGCUUCCCAGAUCCCCGGUCGAACCGUCCAACUCAUGCUAGCAUGGAGAACGGACGUUAAACGAUGAUGAUGAUGAUGAUGAUGAUCUUCCCAUCAUUGUGUGGGCUCUUCUUGUGGGUUUUUAAAAAUUUUUUUCCUGAUUUCUUGUAUAUCAUUUAGCUAAGAUGCAAAGAGCCAUGGAAAGAUCCAUGCUAGUGAUAUCACUGUGAGAGCAUAUCUGAAAUGAGUUAGUAUGAAAAAAGUAGACAAGUGGAUAAUGUGAUUGAAGAAUAUUAGAAUAUGUACAAGUUCUAAUGGGCCAGCUUGGAGGUGCAAUGGCCCAGUGGUUAGGGCAGUGGACUCACGGUCAUAGGAUCGCGGUUUCGAUUCUCAGACUAGGCAUUGUAAGUGUUUAUUAAGUGAAAACACCUAAAGCUCCACAUGUCUCUUGCACGUGGAGCUUUAGGUGUUUUUUCUCACUCUUCCUUCCCGUUUCUGUUGUACCUGUAUUUCAAAGGGCCAGCCUUGUCGCAUUCUGUGUCAUGCUGAAUAUGCCUGAGAGUUGCAUUAAGGGUACACGUGUCUGUGGAGUGCUCAGCCACUUCCACAUUAAUUUCACGAGCAGGCUGUUUCAUUAGUCAGAUCAACUGGAACCCUCGUCGUCGUAACCGACGGAGUGUCAUGAUUAGGCCAGACAUGUCACAAAGUUUGCAAACAACAGGUGGACCCAUUUAGUAGCUGAGUUGUUAGCACACACACACAUGCAUCCACACAGUACACUCUGUAAAGUGAUUGGUGUUAGGAAGGACAUCCAGUCAUAGAAACCAUGCGAAAACAAACAGUUGAAGUCUGAUGAAGCUCUCUGGCUUGCCAGCUCCUAUCAACUCAUAUCAGCAUGAAAACCGGAUGCUAAAUGAUGAUGACGACAUGUAGUGAGAGACAGAAACAGUCAUGUGUGUGUGUGUGUGUGUGUGUGUGUGUGUGUGUGUGUGUGUAUCUGUGUGUCUUCACAUAGACGCUCUGAGCAUUGAUGCAUCGUUCAUGUCUCACAUGAUCAGUAUGUUCUGUAGCCCAGCAAUUUCAUUUGAAGACCAAUGGGGUGGGGCAGAAGAACUAACAGUACCUUACUUGCAAAACAAGCGCAGGUUUGCAGCAGGAAAGGCAUCCAGCCAUUGAAUGUUGUCUCAGUACAUCUCACCUAACACUUGCCAAGGUGGAAAAAGCAAAUAUAAAAGAACAAUAGCAGAGUGUAUCGAGGACCCCAUAAGCCAACGUGCCCCUUGAGGGAGACUUGACUGCCAUUUCUCUAGUUGGUUCAUCAACUAUUCUGAGCAUCAUCCAGUCGCGUGUGGAAAGAGAGAAUGUAAUAUUCUAAGUUGGUGCAAGUGUAUAAAGUUUUCCAUCUACCUGUUAUGUAUAUAUAAGUGUGUUUCAGUGUGUAUGUAUCACAUCUAUGUGUAUUUAUCUAUGAGUAUGUGCAUGUGUGUGUUCAUAUAUGGCCAAUUAAUUUCCAUGUUAAUCCAACCCAACCCUUGUACAAAAGAAAAAUCCCGGAACUUAUUAAUUUAAUUAACCACAAUGAACUAAUUUCUUUUCUUCAUAAAGCUAACCCCAUCACCACCACCACUACCACCAUAGCCACCACCAACACCAUCACCCCCCCACCACCAUCACACCCAUCACCACCACCACGACUACUACUAGUACUUCCGAGACAUUACUACAGCAACUAAUCACCUUUUCCUCACCACCACCACCACAUGACCACAACCACAAAAUCACCGCCAACACCAUCACACCCACUACCACCACCACCACCGUAACUACUACAGCACUUCCGAGACAUUGUUACAGCAACUAAUCACCUCUUCCUCACUACCACCAUAACUUAAACCACCUCCACCAUCACCACCACUUUUACUACUUUCUCUACCACUCUUGCUACCUCCACCUUAACUAUCAUUGACUCCUCUUCCGCCAUCAUCAAGAGACCACAAUCGAAACCACCUCCACCAUCAUUAAUACUUUCACUGGUGCUAUGACCUUGCUUUUAUCCUCACAGCCACCACCACCACCACCACAACCGGCAAAUCCACUAUUAAUAUUGCUAUCACUACUGCCACCAUUACCACCACUAUCACUAUCAUCACCACCACCACCACCACCACCAGCAAAUCCACUAUUAAUGUUUGCUAUCACCACCACCAUUGCCAUCACUACUACUGCCACCACUAUCACCAUCACCACCAUCAUCACCAGCAAAUCCACUAUUAAUAUUGCUACCACCAGUACCAUCGCCACCACCACUAUCACUACCUCCACCAUCACCACCUCCAUCACCAUCACCAUCACCACCAUCACCACCACCUUUCGUCCCUGUCACCCUCUCAUUUCCCCAUGCUGUUCUCGGUACUGAAUUCUGUUUGAUAUUGUUUGGACAGUUAAAAGUCUUUCAAGUCUUAGAGAAACUGUCUUCAUCACUUUCGGAAUUGGUUAAAUUGGUAAACUUAAUUAAUUCGACAUUUAUUUAUUUAUUUAAGGUUUGUUGGGAGUUUUUGCAUUUUCUUUUUCUCUUUUGUUUUCCAUUUCAUGUUUAUUUUUUUUAUAUAGAAUUUGUUUAAAUAUAUUUUUAUUUAUUUAUUUGUAGGAUCACUUCAAUUUUUUUUAUUUAUUUAUCUAUUCAUUUGUUCUGGUCCAUUGUCUUCAUUUUCUGUCUGCCUUCCAUUCUGUCACAGGUUGGAUGAAUUGUCACCAUCCAAGUCAGUUCUUACUUGGAAUUAAUACUUGCCUAAAUGUGUCUGAGGACAUGUCGCACUUGUACUUUCCAUUUGUUACAUAGUUUCUUUAUCGUCAUCAUCAUCACCAUUUAGCAUAUGCUUUCCAUGCUGGCAUGGGUUGGACAGUUUGACCAAAGCUGGCAAGUUGGAGAGCUGCCUCAGGUUCUAGUCAUGUGUUUGGGCCUGGAUUCUAUGGCGGGAUGUCUUUCCUAAUGCCAACCACAUUACAGAGUGUUCUGGGUGCUUUUUAUGUGGAACCAGCACCAGUGCAUUUUACAUGGCACCAACACUGACAGGGUCAACAAGUAACUUACGAGACAAAAUCCCUCUCAACUGGGACAAGGGAGUUGUAGUGGCGAUGGUGGUGGUGGUGGGGUGCUUUUAUACCAGUUGAUGAGAGAUUAGAGAUAAUAGGGGGACAGAGGUUGGUGUUUUACUGUGGAGCAGAUACUCUGGAUGAAAAAGAAAAGGGGUGAGUUAGGGAGUAAGAAAGAGAGCAGGUGUGUCAGAAAGUAGGAUAAGGAGAGCAAUAUUGAGAAAGAUUGUGGUAAAGAUGUGCCUGGGGUGACCCUUGAGGGACAUUGGGUUGGGGAGUGGGGAAAAUAGGUUGAGGUGAUACAGAGAGGCAUGUCAGUGUAAAGAGCUUUUUCUUCACUUUCUGCUUGUUUCUUCUCCCUCUUUUAUUUCUUUCUUUUCAUCUCAUCAUUCAUAUUUUUUAUAGCUGCAUGGUUAUGAAGCUGCCUUCUCAACCCUAUGGUAGUGGGUUCGAUCCCACCAUGUGUCACCUUGAGCAAGUGUCUUCUAUUACAGCAAUGCUUCUUAAACUUUUUUCAUUCAUGACCCCAUUUUUCAUCAACAGAUUUUUUGUGACCCCAGGUUUUAAAUAUGUCUUUGUGAAAUAACAUAUAAACUGAAAUUCAAGUGUUUGAAUUUAAUUUUCACGACCCCAGGAUUUUACUUUGCAACCCCAAAUGGUGUCGUGACCCAUAAUUUAUGAAGCACUGUAUUAUAGCAUUUGUCCUUCCGUUUCAUAAUCUUUAUACCAUCUGAUUCUUCUUUACCAACUGUCUCACCUUAUUACAGUUUCUUGACAGUGAUACUUUUAGGAUUUCUAUUUCUGUUACUUCUCAAUAUACCACAUACGUCAUCAUCAUCAUCAUCGUUGUUGUUUUAAGUCUAUUUUCCAUGCUGGCAUGGGUUGGACGGUUUGAUUGAGGACUGGCAAGCCAGUAGGCUGCACCAGGUUCCAAUCUGAUCUAGCAAGAUUUCUACAGCUGGAUGCCCUUCCUAACACCAACCACUCUGAGAGUAUAGUGGGUGAUUUUUAUAUGUGCCACUGGCACGGUGACAUAUGUUUGUUUUUCAAGGAGAAAUCUUGUUGUUGCUACACAAGAAUAAAGAUUAUCUAUGAACAGCAUGUGACCUUCUCUCAACCAUUCUUUUAUAAAUGAAACAGUGAUGAAUUCAAAAUGUAUUAAACCAGGACCUGUAUCUUCUUUGCCUUUGUACAAUAUAAGCUUCCAGAUAUAGCCAUCAAUUGAACACAGUUUAUAAAAUUUCAGGUUAUAUAAUUUUAGGUAUGUAUUGCCACAAAAUUGUUCCACCACGAAACAGCACUAGACUUACAUCAAUUACAACUUUUUCACCCGGAGUGAACUUCUCAGAAUUUUCAGACAUCAAUUUGAUAAGUAGCCAUAAUUUGCACAAGCAAUCAGUAACAUCUGAUUGACUGUUUGCAAGCAUAAUGCAGGAACCAUAGAAUUAAUUCAAAUUUAUGUCUAGACAUAGUAUGCUGUAUCAGUUUAACUCCAUACAUUUUGCUUUAGACCAAUACCCUUCAAAUGCUGGCUAUUUGUUCAAAUCCAUCAAAGUUAUAAUUUCUAAGCGUGGGUGUGUUGUAAGAAGAUUGCUUCCCAACCAUAUGGUUCCGUGUUCAGUCUCACUGUAUAGCACAUUGGAUCAAUGUCUUUCACUAUAGCCUUGGGCUGACUAAAGCCUUGUGAGUGGAUUCGGUAGAUGGAAACUGAAAGAAGCCCAUCAUAUAUAUAUAGGCAUAUAUUUAUUUGUGUGUGUCUUUGUGUCCAUGUUUUUUUCCCACCACCACCACUUGAUAGCUGAUGUUGGUGUGUUUACAUCCCUGCAACUUAGCAGUUUGACAAAAGAAACUGAUAGAAUAAGUACUAGGCUCAAAAAAGCCCUGGGGUUGAUUCGUUCAACUAAAGCCUUUCAAGGCUGUGCCCCAGCAUGGGCACAGUCAAAUGACUGAAACGAGUAAAAAAUAAAAGAUAAAAGAUCUGCUGAUAUACCCUCCAGCCUUCAUCAGGUGUCUUGGAGAAAUUUCGAACCUGGGUUCUCAUUCCUAAGGUAUUUUUCGAUGUUGUUGUUAUUAUUAUUAUUAUUAUUAUUAUUAUUAUUAUUAUUAUUAUUAUUCAGGUCGCUGCCUGGAAUUGAACUCGGAAUCUUGGGGUUAGUAGCCCCUACGCCAUAUAACCUGAACAAUAAUAAUAAUAACAACAUCGAAAAAUACCUUAGGAAUGAGAAACCAGGUUCGAAAUUUCCCCAAGACACCUGAUGAAGGCUGGAGGUUAUAUCAGCCGAAACGUUGUGUUUAACAACAAACAAGAUGAGGACAAAUAUCCAUCAAUUGUAAAUAAUUUUGUUGUCUGCUAAAUCUUCAGAUGACGAUGCUGCCUGAUUCCAGUUGAACAUUGAUGCUUUCAUUGUGCCUUAAAAUAUAUAGUUUAUUUUGAUAAAUUAAAAUAAAACGGUACAUGUGGAAUUGACCAGGUAUUAUACGAAAAAUAAAAGAUAGAAAGUAAAACUUAUGAACCAAAUGAUUACCACCAAAUGGCAAAAUAUGUCCAGUGCCAGAUGUACUACUGAUGGACAAAGGCAUCAUAAGCCACUGGUGUUUCCUGUGGUGCUCCAAGAUCAUUUCAUAUCUGUUGUUGAUCAUUUGGCCAUGGGUGGUACAUGUUUUUUUGUUACAUUGCUAGAUAGUGCUUCUGAAGUUGAAUACACUCACCUCCUUCUGUCACAGCAUCUAAAUAGCACAUGGAAUAUGUGGUGUCACCAAUAAGUUCCAGUUCCAGGCUGUGGAGGUUAACAUGUUAGAGUGAUGUUGACAAUGGUGGUGCUAGUGGCAGUGGCUCCUCCUCUUUGUUUUUCAUCUUCUGUUCUUCCUUCAUCUUGACUGUCUCUCUUUUUAGCAUCAUUUCUUUCCCCCUUUUCGCAUCCAUUCUUUUCCCUUUUAACAUCCAAUUCUUUUCCUUUUUAGCAUCAUUUCUCUCCCAUUUUAGCAUCCAUUUCUUUCCCCUUUUUAGCAUCCAUUUCUUUCCCCUUUUUAGCAUCCAUUUCUUUCCCCUUUUUAGCAUCCAUUUCUUUCCCCUUUUUAGCAUCCAUUUCUUUUCCCCUUUUUAGCAUCAAUUUCUUUUCCCUUUUAACAUCCAAUUCUUUUCCUUUUUAGCAUCCAUUUCUUUUCCCCUUUUUAGCAUCAUUUCUUUCCCCUUUUAGCAGUUGCUCAGGGCAACUUGGGAUCUCAAAAUGAAACCUAUUUUCCCCUUAAGUUCUAAUAUUCAUUUAGCACUGAUUCAUUUAACAGGGUCUUUUUUUCAAACCAAACACCUGUAAUAAAUGAGGUUAGAUGUGAUGUUAAUACCAGGGAUGUUGAGUCAAAACAAAAAACUCUGACUCCUCUACUAUUGGCACCAGACUCCUCUACUAUUGGCACUUCUGACUCCUCUACUAUUGAUACCUCAGACUCUUCUAUUAUUGACACCUUCGACUCCUCUACUACUGGCACCUCCGACUCCUCUACUAUUGAUACCUCCAACUCUACUAUUGGCACCUCCAACUCUACUAUUGGCACCUCCAACUCUGACAUAUAAUUAAGUGAUUGUGGUCUAUUUUACCGACUCUGACUCCAGCUACCCCUUAAAUGUUUCUGACUCUGACUCCAUGACUCCAACUCCACAGCCCUGGUUAUUACAGGUUUUGGCGAUGUUUAACCCCAGCUCUGAUCUGGUCAGGUACAUCUCUGGCAAAUAAUCACUUUUGAUUCAUCUUUGGUGGCUGUUGAUUUAUUUAAUAUAUUUGAUAAAACAUGUGGCUGUAUGAAAAAGCUAAAACCAAUGACAUCAAUUUGUCUAAAACAGAAUGCAGGACAUUCCUGUUCAUAUUUUGAAUUUCCGUAUUCCUGCAUUCUUUUCAUUUUAUAUUUUGAAUCCAUGUAAGACGGACAAUCCGUCGAAAUAUUGUUCAGUUCAUUCAGUUCGGUAAACAGAGUCAAUCUCUAUUUAUUACAAAUCACAUCAUGCUUUUCCUACUCUUUAAUAAUAAUAAUAAUAAGAAGAAGAAGAAUAAACAUGAUUUAUUGUAAUAUAAAGAAGGAAAAACUCUGGGAAACAAAGUGGUAAAAUUUGGAUUAUAUCUUUUAUUUGAACAAAUUUAUAUUUGUUUUUCAAUUUCCCUAUUAAUAAGGCCAUUUGACCAACGAAUCCAUUUCCAAAGUUAAACAAAAUGUAAUUAUCAUUGUAACACACACAUAUAUAUAAUUGUAUAUAUUGUUUAAAUAUACUCUCACACAUAUGUAUUCAUAUACAUGUUUACAUCAAUCUGCAUGUGUGUGUGUGUGUUUAGUUUUCCAGUUGUUUUUAUUUUUACAAUAUUUUCUUUUAGUUAAUCUUACUUGAAAGAAACAAAUGUGUCAUGUUUUUUUUUUCUCAGUAUCUCCAAUAUCUUCGAACGUUGUAUAAAAAUGUAUGCAGCACAUGUGUGUUUGUGUGUGUAUGUGUACACAUAGACAUACACAAACACGCAAUCAUAUAUACACAUUUUCUUUUCUCUGCAUACGCAUGGUUUCUACUGAUUUCUGUGUGUGUAUGUGUGCGUGUUUAUUUACAUAUACUUUUUUUAAUAUUUUAUGUACACAUAUAUAUACAUAUAUACAUAAUCCAUAUAUAUAUAUAUAUAUAUAUAUAUAUAUAUAUGCAUAGUUAUAACUUCCAUGCUCAUACUCAUAACAUAUAUGCAAAAGAACAUAUAUUUAUUUGUGUGUGUAUGUAUAUGUGUGUGUGUGUGUGUAUAUAUAUAUAUAUAUAUAUAUAUAUAUAUAUACAGUUGUUUCAAAUAUUUCCAAUUUUUUGUGUGUGUGAAUGUUAUGUUUUAUUUCAUAUCAAUUUUAGUACGUGUAUAUGUGUGUGUGUGUGUGUGUCCCACACUCACACAUACAUAUAUGUACACACACGCACAUAUGUAUCAGAAGCUUAUAGUAUUUAAAAAUUUUUUCACUUUUAUUAUUUUAUUUACAAGAAUAUAUAAACACCCCCCAUCAGUUUUGAAAUCAUUUUUGUAUUAAUAUUUUUUAAUCUUAUUAUUCUGAGUUGCCUCACCCUGAUCUCAAUGUCAUUUCAUAAAAUAAACUUUUCUCUCAUCUUGCUUUCAAAUUUUUUUGUUUUUGUUAUGAUGAAAAGAGUAAUAUAUUUUUGUAUACAGUAUACAUACAAACAUUAUUAAAAGUGAUUUCAGUGAAAUGGAGGGGGUGAAGUGACUGUUGGGUUUUCAGUUUUUCAAAUAUAUAAAAAAAAUUUCCUUUGGUUUUUUCAAAGUUUUUUUUACAUAAUCUUUUGUUUUUUAAAAAAAAUUUUUUAAUAAUAGUCAAAAAUAUAUGAUGGAAGGCAAACAGUUUACAAAACUGCUUAUAUAACCUUGUAGCAUUAUAAAACUAGCCAAAUAUGGCUGUCAUAUUAUAUAAAGCGUGUGUUGUUAUAAUACUAAAAAGAAAAAAGAAAGAAACAUUGGUUAAGGUUGGAACACUGUUGAUCAUAGGCCUAUUUAAUCAAACACCAGAUUUAGGGUUAAACAAUAACAAUUAUAAACUAAAGAUAAGUUUGAAUAUUUGAACUUGUAAAGGCUUUUCCCUACAGUUUGUGGUGGAGAAAAAAUUCUUGCUUAAGAUGAAAAGGUGUUAGAACACCGUAGUCAGAUCAGAGCACCUGCUGUUGGACUGAUGGCUGUAUUUUGAACUUGUUAGUUCUCUUCAGAACCAGAUACCAAGAGAGACAACUUUGAACUGGCUAGAAUAGAUACAUGAGUAGAUGAAGAAAACAAAGACAUAACAUACAAGACCAAUUUAAAUAUGCUUGAGAGGUAUUUGAACCUGUAAAGGCUUUUCACUGCAGUUUGUCAUGAAGGAAAAUAUUUUCACUUUUACAUUUAGCCCAGAGUAUUCUGUCUGGAACUGAGGGAUGCAAUUUGGACCCGUUACUUCUUACUGGUACCAAAUAAUAAGAGAGACAACACUGCAUUGACUAGGAUUAUUGUAUUUCUGAUUUAGGCUCAUGGCCUGAAAUUUGGGAAAAGAUUUAUUUGAUAUCAUUGACCCCAGUAUUUGACUGGUGCUUAUUUUAGUUCAAAGGGCAGAUUUGACUACAACAAAAUUUGAACUCAGAAUGUCAAGAACCAAGAAAUGACAAGGAAGUUUUCCCCUCCACCACCUUCAGAAAAUUUCUUUCAAACUUUAGCACAAGUCCAGUCGUUUUUGGAAAAGGGGCAGGUUGAUUACAUUGAGGGCCCCUCUUCUCCCAGUGUUCAACUGGUACUUAUUUUAUCAACCCUGAAAAAAUGAAAGCUAAAGUUGACUUAGGCAGAAUUUGAUCUCAGAGUGUAAAGAGCUGGAAAUCACACUUCAGCAAUUAAUAGCUACAAGCACCUGCUGUAUUUAACCAUACUUGGACUGGAUUACCCUGUUGUUGUUGUCACUGUUGCAUAUCCCUCUUAGUCAAACAUUGAUUGAACAAACUGAACAUCAAAGCCAUUCCAGCUAUGACCAUCCCAACAUUUUGUAGAGCUAUUGAGAAUUAGAUUAUCCAAUGUGUUCUUUCUUGUUUAAGAUGGUGAGUGAUUUGAAGAAGAUGUGGUUGCUAUUUCUAGCAGGUUGAGUUACCACACACACACACACACAUUUAUAAACAUGCAUGCACUCACAAUAAUAUUCACAACCUCUGUAUUGUAGCAUUCAUGAUGUACUUUACUGGAUGUAGUCUUCAUGGUUCUUUAAGAGACUCUGGAAUAUAAAUAUACUUUUUCCAUUCUUUUACUUACUUCAGUCAUCAAACUGCUGACACACACAAUGAUAAAUUUAACAGGUUUCUGUAUAGUUUCCAUCUACCAAAUUCUCUCACAAGGCAUUAGUUGGCACAGGAGUUCUAGUACAAGACACUCAAAGUGCUACAGACACACAGACCCAUACACAAAUAGGAGUGGCUGUGUGGUAAGUAGCUUACUUACCAACCACAUGGUUCUGGGUUCAGUCCCACUGCAUGGCACCUUGGGCAAGGGUUUUCUACUAUGGCCUUGGGCUGACCAAAGCCUUGUGAGUGGAUUUGGUAGAUGGAAACUGAAAGAAGCCUGUCAUAUAUGUGUGUGUGUGGGAGUGUGUAUGUUUUUGUGUCUGUGUUGUCCACCCAACAUCACUUGACAACUGAUGCUGGUGUAUUUACAUUAUUUACAUUUGAUGUAUAUAUGGUGUAGUGGUUAAGAUCGUGAGCUACUAAUCCCAAGAUUCCAAGUUCGAUUCCAAGCAAAUACCUGAAUAAUAAUAAUAAUAAUAAUAAUAAUAAUAACAUAAAAAAAUACCUUAGGAAUGAGAACCCAGGUUCAAAAUUUCCCCAAGACACCUGAUGAAAGCUGGAGGGUAUAUCAGCUGAAACAUUGUGUUAACAACAAACAAGAUGAGGACAAAUAUCCAUCAAAUGUAAAUAAUGUACAUAAUUCCUCAUCUCUUAAAUAUAGAACUGUAUGAUGCUGGUGUGUUUAUGUCCUCUUAACUUAGCAGUUUGGUAGAAGAGAGUGAUAGAAUAAGUACUAGGCUUACAAGGAAUAAGUCCUGGGGUUGAUUUGUUCAACUAAAGGUGGUGCUCCAGCAUUACCACAGUCAAAUGACUGAAACAAGUUGAAGAGUAAAAGAGUAUAUAUAUAUAUAUAUAUAUAUGUAUAUAUAUAUAUAUAUAUAUAUACACAUACACUCUUAUGUACCUAUUUCUUUAUUACCCACAAGGGGCUAAACAUAGAGGGGACAAACAUGGACAGACAUAGGUAUUAAGUCGAUUAUAUUAACCCCAGUGCGUAACUGGUACUUAAUUUAUCGACCCCGAAAGGAUGAAAAGCAAAGUCGACUUCGACGGAAUUUGAACUCAUUACGUAACGGUAGCCGAAAUACUGCUAAGCAUUUUGCCCAAUGUGCUAACGAUUCUGCCAGCUCGCCGCCUUAAUACUCUUAUAUACCGUCUUCUCUCUUUUUCCAACUGGGACAGCCAUGUACCUCCCCACCUUAUGCAAGGCACCUCUUCCUGUCCCUCUAUCAUGCUUAAAUCUUUCAUCACUUGGCAUAAAGCCCCCUCUCCCAGUGCCUCAAUUGAGAGGCAUCUUGUCGUGUGAGUUAUUUUGUAAUUUCACUGGUGCCAAUGCCACCUAAAAAAAAAUCACCCAGUACACUCUCAAAAGUGGUUGGUUUUAGGAAGGGCAUCAAGCCAUAAAAAACACACACAGAAGCAAGUGCACACAUACACACACACGUGUGUGUAUGUAUGUGCAAUUGGCUGCCUUCAUUUUCCAUCUACUAAAUCCACUCUGAAAGAUUUGAUUGACUCUAAGCUAUAGUAGAAAACACUUGGCCAGUGUGCCACACAGUGGAACAAAACGAGCUCCUGUGGAAACAUCUAAACCAUGCCAGCAUAGAAAACAAACAUUAAAUGGUAAUGAUAAUUAUACUGAUUGUCUCCUGUAACUUUUACUUGUAUAAGCCAGUAGUGUGUGUGUAAUUUACAAGGCAUUUGGCUGUCAUUUCUAGCAGAUCAGUGACAGUUGUUGGCUUCUUUAUUGACUUGUAAUGCUAUUCUUGUUAAAGUAAUUACAUAGAAGAACAAAGGAGUUUGUUAUGCAUUUCAUAUCCAAAAACAGUGCAAAACUUACAUAAGUGUUUACCAUUAUUAUUUAAAUGGCAAUUAGUAAAGCAAUAUUUUAUAAUAGGUCCAUUAGUGUUUGCAGCAGCUUUUUAAGUAUAAAUCACUGCAUCUGUAAUUGCUACACUUAAUUUGUGUACUUCGAUACAUUAAUACAUUAUGUUCUGUGGAUGUUUAUAUGUGCAUAGGCCAGACUUGAAGAAGAUAAUUGAUUCAAUAUUAGAGCAUGUACUAUGAAAGUGACUUUAUAUGUAAUCAGUGUGUGUAUGUGUGCAUAUGUAUAUAUUUAAAUGUACAUGUUUAUAUAUAUAUAGAGAGAGAGGUGUGUGUGUGUUUAUAUAUAUAUAUAUAUAGGUCUGUGUGUGUUUAUAUAUAUUUAUAUAAAUAGAUACAUACAUACAUACAUAUAUAUGUGUGUGUAUACAUACAUAUAUAUAUAUAUAUAUAUGUGAUAUGCACGUGCACAUACAUAAGUAUAUAUAUAUAGGCAUGAAUAUAUAUAUAUAAUAUAUAUAUAUAUAGUGUGUGUGUGUAUAUAUGUGCAUGUAUAUAUAUAUAUAUAUAUAUAUAUAUAUAUAUAUAUAUAUAUAUAUAUAUAUAUAUAUAUAUAUAUAUAUAUAUAUAUAUAUAUAUAUAUAUAUAUAUAUAUAUAUAUAUAUAUAUAUAUAUAUAUAUAUAUAUAUAUAUAUAUAUAUAUAUAUAUAUAUAUAUAUAUAUAUAUAUAUAUAUAUAUAUAUAUAUAUAUAUAUAAUAUAUAUAUAUAUAUAUAUAUAUAUAUAUGUAUAUAUGUAUAUAUAUAUAUAUAUAUAUAUAUAUAUAUAUAUAUGUGCGUAUGCAUGUACACUUUUACACCCACACAAUCAAUAAAUACUGAAAAAUAAAUGUCACUGUGCAAGUUGAACUAGGUAAAACGAAUAUUGAUCUCAUAGGUUUUCCUGAUCCAUACUGACCUGGACUAAACCACAGCAAAUAAAAGAUAGGUAAUGGAGAGAGAGAGAGAGAGAAAUAAAGAGGGGAAAUAUAAUAUUACAGCUGCAGUAAAAGGCACCAAAUAAUGAAAGUGGUUACAGGAAGAGACCAUGCUGAGAGAAUAUAUGAUGGAAUUAACUUUGAGGCUGUGCACAGUGGCAUGUGUGGGGGAUCUUUUAAACAGCUAAUACAUGUCGCCUAUUUUAUGCCAGUUAGUGAAUGAAAGUAAUUUUCCUCUAAUGGAUUAAGAUACUAGAUUUUUCUCUGGUAAUAUUCACAGAUAAUUCAGCCCCUUAACUGUUCUUACUGACAUCACCCUCAGUCGUCAUCAUCAUCAUCAGCCCCUGAGCAAUUAUUGUCUAGAGUUCUAGGAUUCAUAGAGCUCAUUACCCAGUUUCCAUGUGAUCUUAGUCUUCCAAGACAUGCAGAUCACAGCAUCUCUCCUGAACAGGAUGCCAGUCCAUUGCAGGAUAACCAUUUACAUUUACAGCUGAAAAGAAUAGAGUAAUGUGAAAUAAAGUUUCUCAAGAAUGCAAUGCACUGCCCAGUCCAGGAAUUGAAAUCCUGAUCUUGUGAUCAUGAGUGCAACACCUUGACCACUAAGCCAUGCUCCUUUACUCUAACUGACAACCAGCUGAAUAAAGUCAUCUGCACUUAAAACAUUCUAUCUAAAUCCCAAGUGAAGUGGUUUGUUGUAGGUUUGAACACACGACCUUUGAGUUGCAAGUUCAACUGUUGUUUCCACUCAACCUCAACCAUUUUGUUUCUUCAGUCAGAUCAUGGAAACACAGAUGCAAGAUCUUGGCUGAGACAUCUACAUUAGCAGUCUGAAAGCUGUGAACCUUUCGACAAGUCAAGCAAUUCUGAUUUUCCAUUUUUUUUUUAACAUAAAAGACAGUCAUAACAUAAUUUGGAGUCUGGAGUAUGAUGGGCAAUAAGAUAAUGAGUUGUGUGGAAAUGUCAUGGCUUCUUUGUGGAAGAGGUUACUUAUUGGGUCCAGAUUGACUAGUGCCCGGCUGAAGACCUUUUGCCAAAGGCAUCAUGCAGUGGAAAUCAAAACAGAAGUCUUCUGAUUUGCAGAACAAACUUUUUGAUCAGACAGCCCAGGAGAUAUAUAUUGUUUUUACAGAACUCCUAAAAAAGUUGAAAAGCAUUCUCACAAAUAAUUGCUACUUGGAUUUUCUUUUUUCCAUCUAAGAUGUAUUUUUUUAAUUGUUUUUUUUCUUGUUUCAGUCAUUUGAGUGGAGCCAUGCUGGAGCAUCAUCUUAAAGGGUUUUUUUAGUAAAACAAACCAACCCCAGUAUGUAUUCUUUAUAAGCCUGGUACUUAUUCUAUCGGUUUCUUUUGACGAACUGCUAAGUUACAGGGACAUAAACACAUCAACAUCAGUUGUCAAGCAAUGGUGGGGUGGACAAACAGACAGACACACACACACACACAUGUAUAGGCACAGGUGUGACUGUGUGGUAAGAAGCUUACUUACCAACCACAUGGUUCCAGGUUCAGUCCCUCUGUGUGACAACUUGUGAGUGGAUUUGGUUGGUGGAAACUGAAAGAAGCCCAUCACGUGUGUGUGUGUGUGUCUGUCUGUCUCUCUCUCUCAGUCUAGCUGUGGGUUUGUGUUUGCCCCACCCCACCAUCACUUGGCAACCAAUAUUGGUGUGUUUACGUCCCCAUAACUUAGCAGUUCAGCAAAAGAGAAUGAUAGAAUAAGUACUAGGCUUACAAAGAAUAAGUCCUGGGGUCGAUUUGUUCGACUAAAAUGGCUGUGCUCCAGCAUGGUCACAGUCAAAUGACUGAAACAAAGAAUAAAAGAAUAUAUGUAUGACAGGCUCCUUUCAGUUUCAUUUUACCAAAUCCACCACUCAAGGCUUUGGUUAGCCUGAGGUUAUAGUAG